rnacentral:misc_RNA from 1 species
CAUUAUUUCUGUUUCGUCUUCAGUUGUCUUCUUACUUCUUCCUAUAUCUUCUGUGGAGAGAGUGAAUCAUUAUUUGGCGGAUUUUACUUCCCAUAAAAUAUUACUGAUUAAUUAAUCUCUUAAGGCUAGUCGCUGUCAUUAUUAUUAUUAUUUUGACCUAAGUAGGAGACUCUUCAGCUAUUCCUCUCCGCAACUGAUUAUUGCCUACAAAUAAACUCUAGUUGUGUUUGUUAAAACAUUUGAGCCCUUAUCUUAUCAUCGACAAAAUUGCUUUGUAUGCAGUUAGUGUUAGUUAGUAAAGUAACCUUAUAGAGGCUUAAUCCAUAAAUGAUAAAUAAACAACUAAUUACUCUACUCAACUUCCACCUGAAUUACUUAUUUUUGUUAAAUCUUGUCACGCCCUAAUCAACUAGAUAGAUCCAAUCAAAGGAACAUGGGAGAUCUAGAGUCUGAGGAACGACAAUUACUCGUCACAGAGACCUCAGGGACUACGAAGUUUUUUGAUAUUCAAUCCAGCCGAAAUGGAAGUAUCACGAAUGAAGAGCCUCCGAGACCAUCUAUUAAAUCUGUUCCCUCAGAAUCUGACUCUCCUCGAUUCCGGGAGCUACUCAAACGCUCACAGUCAAUAGAUUUAAAGGAGAUUAAUCAUACUGGUUGUAUUUAUCAGUCAGGGACGGACAAGUCCGGAAGGCCAGUCAUUGUUUUCAUUGGGAAGUGGUUCCGAACUAAUGAUGUGGAUUUGGAGAAGGCUAUACUCUUUUUGUUGAAGGUUGUAGAUCCCGUCUCGACUGGAGAUUAUGUCGUUGUUUACUUUCAUAGCAAAACCUCAAGAGACAAUAUCCCCAGCUAUGGCUGGAUCAAGGACGUAUACAGCACACUAAGUUAUCGCUAUAAAAAGAACUUGAAGGCCUUUUACAUCGUACACCCCACACUUUGGACAAAACUCACCUGUUGGUGGUUCUCUACCUUCAUGGCUCCCGCAAUCAAAAACAAAAUCAUAAACAUUCAUGCCUUAUCCGAAUUAGAACCACAUUUAAAUACAAAGGAACUGAAUUUGCCCAUGUUCAUUACGGAGCAUGACAUGUCGCUGAAUGGACUACGGUUCUAUGAGCCUUGAAUACUAAUCAAAAAAUAACCAUCUCGGUGAUGGUGUUGAUGGAGGGAAGAAAGAGGAGGAGAGUGUCAUUGUUUCGGCUUCUAUUUUAGUAUAGCGUUUAGUUUUUGUACCAAUUAUUAGACCAACUAGAUUCUCCAUCUUUGUAUUUAAAAAAAACAAAAACAUAAUUAGUAUAAACGAAAUUCUUCCAAAAAAGUAAAAAAAAAAUAUCCACAAAACCAAACAUUUGUAAAUAUUACAUAUUACAGUAUUUUGACAAAAUAUUUAGUUACUAAUGGCAUAGAUACAUAAUCAGACUCUUUUUACUAACCAUCUGUGAUUCUCUAUCUUCACCGCCGCCCCCCACUUUGUUGUCUCCUUUUUUUUCUGUUUGACAAAGUAUUAAUACUAAUAUAUUAAUUAUCUACUUGGAUAGUUAAUAAUUGCAUUGAUAUUAAAUUCCCCACUAAUAAGGACCCUUAUUUUUUAAGAACAACACACACCCAUACUAUUUUACUAAACGACUUACAAUUGUCCAAGAAGGAUUCACACUGUAGGAGAAAUGGAGUUUCCAGUAACCAUACAAAUAUACUUAUUAAAUUCGUAAUUUAUCGCUAUUAUAUAAAGCUGAUAAAAAUAGUUUAUUGAUUGUAAUAUUUUAUUAUAUUAGAAGUUUAUAUACAUUAAACACAGUUUAGUCUUGUUAACGUUCUUGUUUCGUAUUCCAAUUUGUAAUUAUAAUUAUUGAUAUUGAAUAAAAAAUUUAUUAUAUA